GAUCAUGGCUCAGGAUGAACGCUGGCGGCGUGCCUAACACAUGCAAGUCGAACGAGGUAAAUAAGAGGAAGUUUUCGGAUGGAAUCGUAUUUACCGAGUGGCGGACGGGUGAGUAACGCGUUGAUAACCUGCCUCAUACAGGGGGAUAACAGUUAGAAAUGACUGCUAAUACCGCAUAAGCGCACAGUACCGCAUGGUACGGUGUGAAAAACUCCGGUGGUAUGAGAUGGAUCCGCGU
rnacentral:rRNA from 1 species